GUGUGUGUGUGUGUGUGUGUGUGUGUGUGUGUGUGAGAGAGGGGAUUUUUUUUCUGCCUCUAACAUUUCCUGCUUUCUAGCCAAUCACAACGUUACCUAUGUUACAAACUACGGUGCGCCCCAAGGCCCAAAUCAGGUCAGGUGACCGAAGGGGGCGGGGCCUUGUGUGCAUAUGUGUGUAUAUAGAUCAGGUGACCAAAAGGGGCGGGGCCUCGUGUAUAUAUAGAUCAGGUGACAGAAGGGGGCGGGGCCUCGUGUGUAUAUAGACCAGGUGAGACUCACCUGAGUCAGGAAUGUUCUCCAUAAUCUCUUCUUCAUGGUUCUCGGAAUGUAACCUCACCAGCCCGUGAAGAAGAGAUGCUUUAUGACGUAAUAGUGAAGGUAGGACACCGUUGACACUUCCUGUUACACGCGGUGCGUUCAGGGGCUCCUCUGACCGUCCGAGAUUCCUGUAUUGGCGUCGGAAAUUCUGAAUGUUGACUGUAACAAUAGCAACAAACAUGGCCGCUACGAAGAGAAGACUUUCUCUGUUGAGAGUGAGCUAGAUGAGUAAUUAAAGUUAUUUAUUUAGCUUUUAACGCGACGAUCACGUCCGUUAUGCGUUAAUAAGACGCCUCCCGAUACGAUAUCAUCACGAUACUUACGCCGCGAUACGAUAUCAUUGCGAUUUAAACAUAUCGCAAUAUUCUGCGACAUACUGCAAUCUAUAACCUUUAUCUCCAGCUUCUAAUUUUCCCAAAUUUUCAGACGACGUCCCCAAAAGGAAACUUAUCAGCAUCUGUUUCAUCUG